GAGAGAGGCCAGCUAGCAACGAAGACUGCUAAUCUUCGCCCCCUUGGUUGAACUCCAAGGCUCACUCG
rnacentral:tRNA from 1 species